GAUCCUGGCUCAGGACGAACGCUGGCGGCGUGCCUAAUACAUGCAAGUAGAACGCACAGUUUAUACCGUAGCUUGCUACACCAUAGACUGUGAGUUGCGAACGGGUGAGUAACGCGUAGGUAACCUGCCUGGUAGCGGGGGAUAACUAUUGGAAACGAUAGCUAAUACCGCAUAAUAUUAAUUAUUGCAUGAUAAUUGAUUGAAAGAUGCAAUUGCACCACUACCAGAUGG
rnacentral:rRNA from 1 species